ACCAUUCCCGGAGAAGACGACCGUUCCAAGCUCCAACCCUCCGCAUCGCCACCGCACGUGUCUUCUUCCCCCUCCGGCCACUACUACCACUCCAGCGACCUCCUCCCCAACCCUAGGCUAGCGGCUAGCCACCUCGGCUCCUCGCCGCCAUGGGCACCCCUCUCCUCCCCCUCCUCGUCGUCCUCCAGCUGCUCACCGCCCACUCCUCCCCCGCGGCCGCGUCACCGCACAUCUCCGCCGUCAUCUCCCAGUCGGGCCUCGACUUCGCCAAGGACCUGCUCGUGUCCCGCGCCGCGGAGACGCUCACGCCCCUGAGCGUGCCGGACAUCGAGAGAUCCAUGAGCAUCCCGCUCGUCGGCAGCGUCCGCAUGACCGCCUCCGGGAUCGUGCUCCACGGCCUCAACGUCACCAACUCUACCGUCGCCGUCGGGGAAACAGGCGUCGUCGUGGCCGCCUCGCUUGCUAGAGCGAACCUCACCAUGGGGUGGAGCUACUCGUACAGCGCCUGGGUUGUGACCGUCUCUGACUGCGGGAAUGCUUCGAUUCAGGUUGAAGGAAUGGAGGUUGGGGUUUCCAUGGGCAUGAAGAAUCAAAAUGGAUCUCUCAAGCUGUCUGUUAUGGAAUGUGGCUGUUAUAUGAAGGAGAUAGACAUAACAUUAAAUGGAGGAGCAUCUUGGUUCUAUCAAGUGUUUAUAGAUGCUUUCAGCAAUCAUAUCAGAUCAUCAGUGGAAAAUGCAAUUACGAAAAAGAUAAUGGAAGGUGCACUGAAGCUUGACUCGUUACUCGGAAACCUUCCAAAGAAAAUAGAUCUUGAUAGUGUUGCUGCAAUGAAUGUGACUUUUGUUAAUGAUCCCCUAUUCAAGAGCUCCUCUGUUGAGUUUGAUAUAGACGGCUUAUUUGUCCCGUCUAAUGAAACUGUUGUUCCGAGAGACAUGAUUCUUGGAGAUAUCAAAUACGCAUUACCUCUUGGGAGUUCCUCGAAAAUGCUUUGGAUUUCAUUGGAUGAAGAUGUUUUUAACUCUGUUUCAGAUCUGUACUUCAAGGCUGGUUUGCUGCAAAGGAUGGUGGACAAGAUUCCCGAACAGUUUCUUUUGAACACUGCUAGCUGGAGGUUUUUGGUUCCUCAAUUGUAUAAAAAAUAUCCAAAUGAUAAUAUGCUACUAAAUAUUUCUGCAAUUUCACCUCCCUAUGUGAGGAUUAAUGUGGGCAGAAUUGAUGCCACCAUUGACUUAGAUGUCACAGUUAAUGUUUUGGAUUCUGGCAAGAUAAUUCCAGUUGCCUGCAUGUCAGUGUCAGUUGCUGUUUCUGGAGCCGCAGCGGUAUCAGGGAAUAACCUUGGUGGAAGAGUGGAAUUGGAUUAUUUCUCAUUUACAUUGAAGUGGAGUCGAGUUGGCAAACUCCACACUGUUCUAGUUCAGGUGAUUUUGCUGAACUAUAUAUUUAUGUUGUCUUCCUGCUUGUCCUAUUUUGUCUCCUAGAUGCAGGGUCUUCAAUUGCACACACCACACCCUUUAAGCAAGUCCAGCUUCGACAUAAUGCAUUUGUGGCGAGAGGAAAGUUAUGAAUGUGCUACGAAUUUUCCUGAAACACUUGUUUGUGCCUUAUGUGAACUCAUAUCUCGAGCAAGGCUUCCCGUUGCCCAUCAUCAAGGGUUUCUCCAUCAGAGAUGCAUAUAUCCUCACUUCUUUCUCAAAAUUGAUUGUAAGCUGCGAUGUCACCUUCAUUGAACCAGGGGCCCUGUUCCCUGUCCAGACCCAUGGAAGAUUUAUCCUAUAAAUUUUAUCCAGCAAAAGCAUGGCAACCACCAUGGAACUACUAGUGUAGGCUCCUGCUUUAGCAAAUCGUACAGUAAUAAUGCCAUUCAUACUGUAAUAAUGUAGCAUUUCCUUUUUUAUGUAAACAAAUGUGCAAUGUAUACAUGUAUAUGCAGAGCCGUACAAGCAGUCCUUAGGUUGAGUUGUUACACUAGGUUUGAACAGGAGAAGUGGAUACUUGUAAAGUUGUAAUGCACUAUGAACCUGUCACUCUUACAUUGAACAGCAAUCGAGGUGCCUGUAUAUAAUA